rnacentral:rRNA from 1 species
GACGACGCUGGCGGCGUGCCUAACACAUGCAAGUCGAACGGAGAUGAUGGGAUAGCUUGCUAUUUAAUCAUCUUAGUGGCGGACGGGUGAGUAACACGUGGGCAACCUGCCCCAAAGAGGGGGAUAACACCGAGAAAUCGGUGCUAAUACCGCAUAACAUUAGAGCUUCGCAUGGAGCUUUAAUCAAAGGAGCAAUCCGCUUUGGGAUGGGCCCGCGUCUGAUUAGCUAGUUGGUGAGGUAACGGCUCACCAAGGCGACGAUCAGUAGCCGAUCUGAGAGGAUGACCGGCCACACUGGAACUGAGACACGGUCCAGACUCCUACGGGAGGCAGCAGUGGGGAAUAUUGCACAAUGGGGGAAACCCUGAUGCAGCAACGCCGCGUGGAGGAAGAAGGUCUUCGGAUUGUAAACUCCUGUCUUCUGGGACGAAUAAUGACGGUACCAGAGGAGGAAGCCACGGCUAACUACGUG